CCGUGCCCCUGCUCGCGCUGCAGCCCGUGGAAGGGUUCCGUCCAGCGUAUCCUUCAGAUCUUGCUGUAGGCCUCUGGUGUCUGUGCGCGCGCGGCAGGGGCGGCGGCGGCGACGGCCGGAGGUGUACGUUGCUUCCUCUACUGAAGUCUUGAAACCCCUGAAAGUCAUCCCUGAGGUUUGAAGUUAACUUCUUCUACACCCUGUUAAUGUUGAUAUUUUGACCUCCUUCCAUGAAUCACAAAUGUUCUUAAUGGCAUCUAGAAUGAACAUGCAUCAUUAUUAGAACCAUCACCCUGCAGCUAGCUUGGAUACCAUUAAAAGGGCUCAUCAGCUGCAAACGGAUUAAAGUAUCUGAUACUCGGGAAGACAGAGUUUCAGGGUUUCUACCUGGAGCUACACCCUCAGGAAGCCCCUCCUUGGCCUCCCUGCACCCAGUCCCAUCCCAACCAGUCACAUCUUGGGCUGUGCGUGGUGUUUCUUGGAAACUGGAACACAGACUCCUCCAGCAGCUCCACAGGUCCCUUGUCCUCAAUGAGCAGAAGACUACAGGAGCUGGCUACUGAAGAGGCUGUCCAAGUAAUAGAGCACCUUCUUGGCCCUGCUUAGCACAUUUACUGCAGAGCUGGAUGCUACUUAUUUGUGCUCACCACCUUCAGGGACUGCAGAGAGAUUUGUCAGACCCUACUUCACUAAGGGCCACCCUCUAAGGAUCUCCAGAAGAGGCUGCCCAUAGAGAGAAGUGGCCUGCCUAGGGUCUCCACUUCCUCAGGUCCUACCCGGACACCUCUAGGGCUGAGGGGAUCAGUAUCUCUUCACCUGCCUGUAAUCCACAUACCAAGUGGAAGAAUCUGCCUGCUAUUUUUUGUUUGUUUGUUUGUUUUGGCGGGAAGAGUUUUAACUACUGCUGUAACUCCUUUAGUAGCUAUGGAACUGUUGAGGAUUUCUUUUUCUUCUUGAGUCGAUUUUGGUAAGAUAACAGUUUUCUAGGAGUUGGUCCAUUUUGUCUGCAUUUUCAAAUUCAUUGGCAUAAAGUUUCCUUUUUAUUCUGUGCUGUGUAUGAACUGUAACAAUGUCUCCUUUUUCAUUACUGAUAUUGGUUAUUUGUGCCUUCUCACUUUUUUUCUUGAUCAAUCUCACCAGAGGUUUAUCUAUUUUAUUAGUCUUUUCAAAGAACCAACUUUUGGCUUUGUUGCUCCUCUCUAUUGUAUCUUUGUUUUCUAUUUCUUUAAUUUCUGCUCUUAUCUUUUUUGAUCUCCUUCCUUCCACAUUUUUUGGGUUUAUUCUGUUGUUCUUUUUCUAAUUUAACUGGACAUUGAGCUCAUUAGUUUUCAUUCUUUCCCAUUUUCUAAUUUGUGCAUUUAAGGAUAUAAUUUCCCUCUAACUCCUGCUUCUCCAUAAGUUUAGAUAUGUAGUAUUUUCAUUAUUGCUCAGUUAUAAGUACUUCAUUUCUAUCAAGGUUACUUCUUUGACCUGUAAGUUAUAUAGAAAUGUGUUUUUAGAUUUCCAAAUGUUUGGGGAUUUAAAAUUUUAUCUCUUUGUUAUUGAAAUCUGUCUUAAUUGCAUUAUGGUCAGAGGAUGUGGUUUGUGUGACAACAACUCUGAAAUUUUUUAGACUUGUUUUAUGGCUUAGUAUGUGACCAAUAUUUUUGAAUGCUUCCUGUGUGCUAAUUUAUAAGAAUGUGUGUUCUCUAAUUGUUGAAUACAGAGAUCUACAUAUGUCUAUUAUCAAGUUUGUGAACUAUUGUUCAAUUUUUACUUACCUAUACUGAUUUUUUUGGUCAUUAUCUACUGAUAAUUGAAAGAGGUGCGUUAAUGUUCAACUGUAAUGGUGGAUUUGGCAAUUUCUCCUUGUAAUUCUAUCUCGUUUCUUGCUUUAUAUAUUUUGAGGGUGUUCAUUAGGAAUAUUCAAAUUAAAAAUUGU
rnacentral:lncRNA from 1 species